CUGGAAUUUUAUAAAGUAAUAGAGAGGUGAAUGUAAAUGAUCAAAACAUUAGCUCCACAGCCAAUUACUGAAUACUGAUAGCUCCGAUCUCUUGUACUGAGAGAAGAGAUGUUCAGGAGGAGAUUUUUGUCGUUUCCGCUCGUAAUAGGCGCUGUUAUAAUUGGAGUUGUAUCUGGGAAAGCUAUAUUUGCACAACCACUUGAUGAAUAUUGGAAGAAGAAACUUCAGGAGAAACCAGCCGCAAAAGAAAAUGAUGACAUCAGCAACAACGGAGGAAAAGGGGAAAAAAAUGGGGAAACAAAAAAAAAAAGAAGCUGAUCCACUACAGAAAUACAAUAAACUAUGUAAGUAUAUUGAUAAGAACGACUUAAAAUACGACAGCUACUAAGCCUACUAAGGUCGUUGUCUACAUUUAUUUUUUAUAUACUAUAAUAUGAUUGAACAAUAAUUGUAUGGGGCUGAAUGAAUAUGGAUAUAGGAGUAGUUUUUGGAAUAGUUUAUAGUUAGGUAUUCUGUUAAAUGUGAAAAAAAAAAAAUGGUUUUGGGAGGAUAUAGAUGAUGGACUUUUAUGGUCCCACUGUUUAUCUUUAAGUUCCACAGUCAAAAAAGCGGUGCACAUAAUUAGCUAGAAACUUGGUGACCUGGCUUUGUCUUCGUUUGCCAAGUGUUUGCAAUGAACUGGCUCCUCGUGGCUCUACUUUCAUAUUACGUCUUCGCUUUUUCUCUUUUUCCUUUUUGUCUUCAAAUAUUGUUCAUGGUAUCUACAGAUAUUUCAUAUUUGCAUUGGCUUGGUGUUGGUCAUUUGGUUCACGUAAUUUUUAUGUGUGCAAUGUGUUAUAAGAAAAAUAAGGCAUAAGUCAUCAACUUGCCGUCAAAGUUAUAUCGACAUAUAAUUCAUUAGAAGUCUUAGUUUAGAUUUGUUCCUAUCGACCACCGGGAGUAUUCAGAAUUUGUACCAAUGACAACAUGGACUGUUUAAAAGAUACUUUUGUUAUUAAAAACUCCAUGUAGUGUUAUUAUUAACUAGGGGUGUUCAAAGCUCGUAUCGUCUUAUUCCAUUUUGUGAUAGCAUGCAUGCUUCAUACUGAAUUUGAUAUCCUAUAUUGAUGUUUAUGCGGAUCGGAGUAUUAUGCUUAUGGAAAAAUAAAAUGAAUACACACUUUAACUUACCAUAUUGAUAUAAAUCUUCAUCCUUACA